AAAGACUCGAAUGUAAUUAAAGACAUGUUAAGAUCAAGUUUUCCAAUUAGUUUUUAAAUUAAUUAUGAGUAGAAGAAGAGCGGGGGAGAGAGGAACCACGGCCUCAUUUUCUAGCGUUAGUAUGAUGUGCUGACGUCUCACGUUUUACACACCAGGAGGUCGGCUAGCUGUCACGUGCAAUGAUAUCCGCACCCACAUUCAGAGCGGACCUAAGGCUAACAAUGCUGUCAAGUCUUUAAGAAAAGAGUAGAAACUACGUUAGUCCAAUGGGCUAGCGAAGCCGGUAAUACCUUCAGCUAAUUGUCUCUCCGCUGGUGUUCGUUUGGAAGGGCUGGUAUUGAUCUCCGCUCAUAAGAAAAGUUCCCAGAACUCAAGCUUCCUUCCGUACGUGCACGUCUUUGCACUGGCCUUUGAUUACGCUGACACACAAAAAAGAACACUCGUUUGAGUUUAGAAUGCGGACGGACAGCAGUGCUAACACGAAGCCUGGAGAGAAUCGGAGACAACAGACAACUGCUGCUGGCCGUAUCACUGUUUCGCAGAAACAAAUUAAAGCGGCAAGCGCGCGUUCUCGGCAGUAAGUCGUCCCUGCUGCUCUCAGUAGGCAACUAAAGGCAACUAAUCAAUUUGUAAUCUUUCAGCAAGUCCACUGAAGACAGUGUGAUGGCUUGAGGACUGGACUCCUGCUGGCUCCACUGCUCAUAUUUGUGCACCGAAUUGUGGUGUCCAAAAAUAUUUCCUUACAUCAAAUUUUGGUUUUCCUAGUCUUCAGCAAUGAAUGAAAACAAAAUAUUUAUACUAAUAAAUUCAUACUUUACGGUACAAGACCUUUAUACUAACCACAUACUGCUGAACUAGUUUGCACUUCCUCCACGUUUAGUAAAGGGUUCUAUGACCUAAUGCUAUCUGGCCUAAGCAAACAAAAAGUAUGAAUUUGGCCACACUUUGUAUAUUUCUUCAGUAAUCCAACCUCCUCAAUUAGCUGAAGACCCCAACGGGAAAGUACAGUCCAUAUGCUGGAAGGUGAUCUGCAUAUUGGCAUCCGGAAUUUAAUAUGAGAAUUAGCCCAUCUCACAGGAACUCUGGGGCUAGUAAACAAACAAUAUUAUUACGUUCAUUUUCCCAACCUGAUUUUGUACCCUUGCGACGCAACAGAAGCAGCGCUGGCUUCCUGUUGGGCACUCUCUUCCUCACAUUGAUGAACGGCACUACAACCAAAUCGCUCUGCGCCUCUGAUCCACGGGCCUGAUACCGGGCUGCUCUGGCAUCCGCAGAAUUCCUGGCCCCUCCAUAUCCUCCUCGUGGAAGAUGACCUUGCUUUUGUCUGCGCCCGAAUCUUAUCAGAUGAUGUGGAUAAAACCUGCUGAAUUACAAUCCCCCGCUCCCUCUAGGGAGCCAUUUUAACAUCACCAAAAUGGCCUUUUUCCCCUCUUUUUUUAAUACAUGUUUGAGAGGCAGAGAGUCCUCUCAGCAGUCUCCCUCAGUCCCUUCUUUUGUGUAAUUUUAUACCAUCCCUCCUCGUGCGCUAUUGAAUACGAGAGCCUGGAAAUGAACUUGUGAACUGGAGCAAUUUUCAGACAGAGUUUUUUGAAUGGAUUUCUCUGUUUUUGCAAAGGGCGGGACGAGAGCUUCGAUAACCAUGAGGUAUUUACUUACAAAUACUGAGAGUUCGGUGAAGCCAGUGGAUUAUUUAAUGACGGGGGACAGAAGGUAACUGGUGCUGAACUGUUUGGUAGGCUGUGUUUGUGGUCCGUGCCAGAUAAAUAUAUGCUCAUAAAAAUUUGUCAACAUUCAGUAACUUCAGCUGAAGAAGGGCACGAGUUGAGUUGUUCAGGCUUUUAAGCAAACUACUGGAGCACAUGGGUGUGGUAUUUAAGUCAAUAUUAGCUACAUAACAAUAUGCCUGCCCAUAGGAUGCAUGUGAGCUGUACUGGCUUAGCUUGUGCUGUACAGAGCCUGUAGCAUAUGUAGCAUGUCUCUGUGAUCGCUGUGAAGGUGAUACUGGAUUCAGCCUUGGGUCAAAUCCCAUAAACUCCCUCCCGGGAACGUUAGCAGUUUGUGGCUUUCUUUUCCUUUUCAUGAUCUGACCGCCGCCAGACAGCGCCUCCUCAGGUUAUCGGGAGUGCGGCCUUUCGUUUUGCACGUACCACCAUCAGUGUAGAAACACAAAGGAACGGGUGGCCCAAAUCUGUAU